ensembl:snoRNA
AAGACUAUACUUUCAGGGAUCAUUUCUAUAGUUUGUAACUAGAGAAGUGUAGCCGAAAGUGUCUGACCUUGCUAACCACGAGGAGGAGUGAAAGUGUUCUCUUCUGAGCGCGAAGCGAGCAGACAGUGUUGCUUUAAUGCAGCUGCUGUCUGUUAUUGAUGACCGUUCCUUCUUUCCUUUUGGGAAGUUGGGAGGGAGAGAACACAGACUGAGUGGUU